UAAGGUGAAACCGCGAAAGGCUCAUUAAAUCAGUUAUGGUUCCUUAGAUCGUACCAACAUUUACUUGGAUAACUGUGGUAAUUCUAGAGCUAAUACAUGCAAACAGAGCUCCGACCGGAGACGGAAGGAGCGCUUUUAUUAGAUCAAAACCAAUCGGCGGCGGGUCCGCUUGCGGGCACGUCGUCGUUCGCAUUGACGAAUCUGAAUAACUUUCUGCUGAUCGCACGGUCUCGCACCGGCGACGCAUCUUUCAAAUGUCUGCCUUAUCAACUGUCGAUGGUAGGUUCUGUGCCUACCAUGGUUGUAACGGGUAACGGGGAAUCAGGGUUCGAUUCCGGAGAGGGAGCCUGAGAAACGGCUACCACAUCCAAGGAAGGCAGCAGGCGCGCAAAUUACCCACUCCCGGCACGGGGAGGUAGUGACGAAAAAUAACGAUACGGGACUCAUCCGAGGCCCCGUAAUCGGAAUGAGAACAAUUUAAAUCCUUUAACGAGGAUCAAUUGGAGGGCAAGUCUGGUGCCAGCAGCCGCGGUAAUUCCAGCUCCAAUAGCGUAUAUUAAAGUUGUUGCGGUUAAAAAGCUCGUAGUCGAAUCUGUGUCCCGCGCCGCCGGUUCGUCGCUCGCGGCGUUUAACUGGCGUGUUCGCGGGACGUCCUGCCGGUGGGUUUAGCCCUUUCACGAGGGCGGCCCAAUUAUAAUCCCGCCGCGGUGCUCUUCACCGAGUGUCGAGGCGGGCCGGCACGUUUACUUUGAACAAAUUAGAGUGCUUAAAGCAGGCUAAAAUUUCGCCUGAAUACUUCGUGCAUGGAAUAAUGGAAUAGGACCUCGGUUCUAUUUUGUUGGUUUUCGGAACACCGAGGUAAUGAUUAAUAGGAACGGAUGGGGGCAUUCGUAUUGCGACGUUAGAGGUGAAAUUCUUGGAUCGUCGCAAGACGGACAGAAGCGAAAGCAUUUGCCAAAAACGUUUUCAUUGAUCAAGAACGAAAGUUAGAGGUUCGAAGGCGAUCAGAUACCGCCCUAGUUCUAACCAUAAACGAUGCCAGCUAGCGAUCCGCCGACGUUCCUCCGAUGACUCGGCGGGCAGCUUCCGGGAAACCAAAGCUUUUGGGUUCCGGGGGAAGUAUGGUUGCAAAGCUGAAACUUAAAGGAAUUGACGGAAGGGCACCACCAGGAGUGGAGCCUGCGGCUUAAUUUGACUCAACACGGGAAACCUCACCAGGCCCGGACACCGGAAGGAUUGACAGAUUGAGAGCUCUUUCUUGAUUCGGUGGGUGGUGGUGCAUGGCCGUUCUUAGUUGGUGGAGCGAUUUGUCUGGUUAAUUCCGAUAACGAACGAGACUCUGGCCUGCUAACUAGGCGUAUUUCCGACAUCUCGAAGGCCCGCCGGCCUGGUGCGCUCGCGCGCGCCUAGUCGUGCGUGGUUUUUACUGUCGGCGUACAAACAAUUCUUCUUAGAGGGACAGGCGGCUUCUAGCCGCACGAGAUAGAGCAAUAACAGGUCUGUGAUGCCCUUAGAUGUUCUGGGCCGCACGCGCGCUACACUGAAGGAAUCAGCGUGUCCUCCCUGGCCGAGCGGCCCGGGUAACCCGCUGAACCUCCUUCGUGCUAGGGAUUGGGGCUUGCAAUUGUUCCCCAUGAACGAGGAAUUCCCAGUAAGCGCGAGUCAUAAGCUCGCGUUGAUUACGUCCCUGCCCUUUGUAC
rnacentral:rRNA from 1 species